UACGUAGGGGGCAAGCGUUGUCCGGAAUCAUUGGGCGUAAAGAGCGUGUAGGCGGCCAGAAAAGUCCGCUGUGAAAACUCGAGGCUCAACUUCGAGCUGUCGGUGGAAACUUUCUGGCUAGAGUCCGGAAGAGGAGAAUGGAAUUCCUGGUGUAGCGGUGAAAUGCGCAGAUAUCAGGAGGAACACCGGUGGCGAAGGCGGCGACCUGGUCCGUGACUGACGCUGAGGCGCGAAAGCGUGGGGAGCAAACAGG
rnacentral:rRNA from 1 species